ACGGAGAGUUUGAUCCUGGCUCAGAACUAACGCUAGUGGCGUGUCUUAGUCAUGCGAGUCGAGCGAGAAAGUCUUCUUCGGAAGACGAGUAGAGCGGCGAACGGGUGAGUAACGCGUGGGUAAUCUUCCUUUGAGUUGGGGAUAACAUUCCUAACGGAAUGCUAAUACCGAAUGUGGAGUACGGUUCUUGGGCCGUACUCUAAAGGCGGCCUCUGCUUGCAUGCUGUCGCUCGAAGAUGAGCCCGCGUCCUAUUAG
rnacentral:rRNA from 1 species